UGCCCGACGCAGUGUCUGCAGAGCCAAACGCAUCUUCCGCCACGCCUCAUCCUCAUCCGGCGCUGCAUCCGACCCUCCAAGACUCCUGCAGGAGCCUGCCUUCCUUGGCAGGCUCAGCCAAAAGACCAACUCAAAACUCUUUUGUCAGAGCAAGCUUAGGGCGAGCCACCCAGCCCCAGGUGCCACAACCCUCCCAGAGCAACUGUGGCUCAUGCCACCCCGGGCUCUCAGUGAACACUGGCAGGGUACCUCCCAUUAUCUCCUUUGCUGAAAAGAAAGUGACCUUCUUUCAGGAGGCAAGCUGGAAGCUUUGCGGAAUCCUGCUACUUCUGCUCACUCUCAGCAGGAUUCACCAAACCCAGAGAUCUGAGGGUUGAGGGAUUUUUCACCAAAUCACCAUUCCACUGGCUAUCAGGCUGAUCUACUGUGACACUGAUGACAUCAUUCUGAUGGACCUUGAGAACAGAAAGUAGGAGAUACCCUAGAUGACUUGGUCCCAUGUAAGAGACUGUGUAAUUUUUCAAACUGCUUUCAAGCAAUCAAAAGUUUGAGGGCGACUGACUUCAUC